CAUGACCAGCAAAAUGGCUGUCCCACAAAAUGACAAAAUGUCACAAUUUAUUGCCUGAUGCUCAUAAACAAAUUAGUACGUAUUUAUAUUUACAAUUGCUUUUCUGGCCUACCAAAAGUCGUGAGCUGCACAAUUGUUCUAAAUUUUUUCCUCUACUUUUAUACGAAGUAAAUAACUUUUGACUUUUCUGUGCAGUAUACAAAUAAAUAAAACUCAAACGCCAGCAGCCGACUCCAGCACUUCAACUGACAUUAAAAUUGUUCAUCAAACCAAGGCUGUUACUUUCAGGGAAAGUAUUGCUCCAGCAACUUGAGAGAAACUUUGCAUGUCAACUGGAAAUCCAAGUGGGAUUGCAUUUAUAUAUCCAGUUAAUUACUGGUUUUGUCUACGUGACACAGCUAAAUAACGUGUCGUGUUCGAGACACCACUCAAGAUCCAUCAAGUUAUGAACAAACCUCCCACUCCAAAACGAAUCCUCAUCAUAACGUCGUGACAAAAUUAACCAGAUUGUUUUAUUUUAAUGGAUUGAGGAGGAAUAUAGUGGUCCAAGUAGUCCAACUUUGUACG